CUGGAACUUGGGUUCUCGAAGUAAUAGGUUUUGUUAAAGGAGAAGAUCGAGAAGGUGGGCCAGAAUUGCUAGAUAGAGAAGGAGACCGAGAAGGUGUGGCUGAGUUGUUAGUGAAAGAAGGCGAUCGAGAAGGUGGGGCUGAGUUGCUGGUGAAAGAAGGCGAUCGAGAAGGUGGGGCUGAGUUGUUAGAGAGGGAAGGAGAUCGAGAGUUGUUAGAGAGGGAAGGAGAUCGAGAGUUGUUAGAG
rnacentral:lncRNA from 1 species